rnacentral:lncRNA from 1 species
UUUUUUUUUUCUUUUUACAGCUGCACCUGUGGCAUAUGGAAGUUCCCAGGCUAGAGGUCUAAUCAGAGCUGCAGCCACAGCAAUGAUGGAUCCGAGCCACAUCUAUGACCUAAGAGGCAGCUUACAGCAGUGCUGGAUGCUUAACCCACUGAGCAAAGCCAGGCAUUGAACCCACAUCCUCAUGGACACUGUCAAGUUCUUAACCUGGCAAGCCAUGAUAGGAACUCCCUUUACCACUUUUUAAUAGAUAGAUGAUUCUUGCCUUUGAAAAUAUUUCAAUUAGAUCAAUGUUUCUGAUGGAAGCUUCUAAGCCAAAAUAUCUUUCUAUUUCUAUGUUAUGUGACCAAAAUUAAAGCUCAUUUAAAUGGAGUUAAAAUAUUUCAAUAAUGUAUACUCUGUUGGAGGAUUCAAAUAUGUCUCUCCUUCUCAGUGAUAAAAUCAUAUUUUUCAGAUUAGGACAGACUUGGAAUCGACCAAUAGCCAGUCAAAAAGCACAGGUCUGGUAGGAAAAUAGGGUGGAAAGAAAGUGGUGAAAUACCCUUGAAGAGCUUCCAUGUUGAGUCUGUUCUUUGCAACUACAAAAAUCACGUGCCUUAGUGAACAGUUCCUGCUCUUACACACACCUGCUUUAGUUCAAUUCAGAAAAGUUUCCUGGCAAAAAGAACAGGCUGUGUUAUUAAUUCAAUAAAUCACCAUCCUAUUUGCAUACACACAAAAUGUAUCUCAUACAGCAUGUUGAGACAUCAGACCUAAUUAAAAUAUUAUUUAAUUGAAAUCAUUUUAGUAGUUAUCAUGUUUAAAAUAACAUUAAUUCCACCCUCAUGCCUAUCUUCUCUCAUCUGUAACAAUUUGGAUCUUAUAAAUGUAGCACAUACAGUCAUCCUGACCCACACACAACACAAAGAGACUGCUAAAAGGAAAGUGUAAUACAUUAUUGAUGACACUAAUGAAAUUACAACACACAUCACUCAUUUUAAUGGGUCUGUUUCAAUGACACAUCACGGUGACCAGGAAAGAGCAGCACCAAACUCAGAAACCUAAUUAAUAACUCCCAGCAGCAUCAGUGAAGGAGAUGAAGCAUCUUUGCUCAACUGACAAAUCUUUUCCACUCAGCUAAAGCAAAGGAAAACUAAAGAAAAUGAAUUUUGAAACAAAGGCAUCAAAAGUCUUCAUGAGUCAUUUCUUUGUGUGUGAAUUAGCAAAUUAAUGAUGAAAAUGAUGACUCUCUUUCAAAUAUUCCUUCUUAUAUUCAGAAAUGGUUGGUCAAAGAAUGCCACUAAACGUUAAUUAAAAUUCAUUAUACCCCCUGUAGAGAAACUUCUAAAUGAAAUCACACUAAAUAAUAAGUCAUGUCUUUUAAAACUCACUGGAUAUGCAUGCUGCAUGCAGAGAGAAUAAGGUCAAGUCAAUAUCUCACAAUUGUUUCUCACUCUUUUUAGGGAUUAUACUAAUUGAUCUCCAUAGUUAAUAGUGGAAUACUGUAUUUAUAUCAACAUUAGAAAAGAUUAUACGUUUCCAUCAAGAGGUGGGGUUUCUUUCCCUACUUCUUCAGUUGGGUUUGGUCUUAAUGAAUGUGCCAUUUAUGGUGAGUCCAUGCUUCAAAGGGUCUGCUGUGUUUCCUUUCUCUCUCUCGAACUGAGCCAAGCCCCCAUGAGAAAAUGCUGGGUUAGUCUGCUGAAAGAACACAUUUGAAAGUGGGGAGCUGCUUGGCUGAGCCCUUCCUACAUUAGCUACUCCCGAGCCAAGUUGGCACUAGUUGCAGACAUAAACACAAUCAAGAGACAGCCAGCCUGUCCCAGACCAGAAGAAUUGCCUAGCUAAAUCCAAUCUAGAUGGCCAGAUUGAAUAAUUCUGAACAAAAUAAAUAGUUGUCUUAAGCCACUAAAUUUGGGGUGAUUUGGAGCAAUAGAUAAUUGACAUAACUUGGUAGUGUUUUUGUUUGUUUUUUGUUUGUUUUUCUGGUGGGAAAGGAAGGGCUUACGUUGCUCUAGGCAUCAGUGCUCUUACUCUCUAUUAAUACCAUUGACAGAAUGCAAUACAUGGUGUGGGGGUGACAGUUCUUGAAAAAACUGGCUGAAUUCAGACGAUGUUUUUGGAACACUUCCCAACAGUCCUCAUAAGGAAUGUAACAACAAAGUUAAGAUAUCUGUACUGAUCUGUUAGAAGUUUUAAAAUCUGUUUUGAGUGCCAACUGGAAUUGUUCCCACUAAGCAAAACAGUUAAUCAUUACAUCGUAUAGUUUGUGGUUGUUUGGUUCUUUUUAUCAUCUUACUGAAUUACAGCCCAAGAAACAGAAAAAAAAAAUGAUCUUUUUUCCAUUACAAUUAAAUAUAGAGAACAGAGAGAGUAAAUGAUUGUAUAUUGUAGAGUUACUAUCUCAAGACCUCUCAGUCCAUCUAAUUACACUGUUUCUUGAGAGAAGUGUUCUAAGAAAAUACAUUUUUUUAGCAUAUUCAAGGGAGACUUCCCCUGAAAAGCACAGUGCUUGAUGUUUAUCAACAAAGAAAAAUUAGAUUUCUGCACUCGAAAAUCUGUCAUUAAAUAAAAAGGGGAGGGAACAAUACAACGAAAUUAAUAUAACCCUUAGAAUCUUAUAAACUUUGCAGAAGAUGGUGAUAUAUCACACACAUGUGAUUUUUUUUUGUUCUUAUUUCAAUGUAAUCCCUGCUGUUUUCUAUCUUAACUCUAUGUAUGACCUAAACCUCAAUAUUUAGAUAAUUUUUUACUCUUAUUUGGGACUUUAUUCUUGUAAUAUUUCAGUAUCUACUCAUCAGGGGUAAGAACCAGUCACCUUCCAAGGACAACUUCAAUUGAACACCUUGCAGGCACUUGACAAUUAACAUAAGGAUGGAUUUGCUUCAAUCUAUGCUCCAAACAUUUGCAUUUGCCCUUUCUCCAUUGUUCUUCCCUUACUUUCAUUUCCUUGAGUAAACAACAAUAUGAAGGUCAUAAAACCAAACAAAAUAGGUAAAUCAGCUUUUUUCCCUCAUUUUUUAAUUCUAGUAAUGAAAAAGAUGUGAACUACUUGUUUUAGAAAGUUCACUCUAAAGAUGUAUUUAUAACGUAGGUUCUGUCUACUUAAAAAAAGUGAGUAAUUGAGCCAAUAUUGAUCUUCUUGACUUAUUCUACUCAAAAGUCUUCAUUAAAUGUCUAAUAUGAGUAAGUCAUCAUGUUAGGUGCUGAGGGAUAGCAAAGAGAAGUUUAUACUCUAUGUUCAAACCAAGCAUAUGAGAAGUAAAUUAAAAUAUAUCAUUUUAACUUCUUUUUCAUUUAAUACAUUUAGAAUAUAGGGUAUGAAAUUAAUUGUAUAGUUUAUAAUUUUUUAAAAAUUUUAUUCUUUAUGUAUAAUAUACUGUUAAAAAAUACUGCUUUGCUCUGAUUCCCUAGCCUGGAAACUUCCAUAGGCCAUAGGUGUGGCCCUAAAAACCAAAAAAAACCCAAAAAACAAACAAACAAAAAAACCUGCUUUGCUAUGUAAACAAAGAAUGUUGUUGGAUGUUCCAAUUCUACAGAGAUUUAGCCAUUAGUCAUUGCAGUUGCCCACAAACACUGCCUGAGGGAAAUUCAGGAUAGAGAAAACCAGCAAAUCAUUCUGUACUUUGGACACUGGCCCUAGAUAAUUAAGAUGAAUAUUUCAAGGAUAAUAUCAAUGAACCCAGAUUCUUGCAUCUUUCCGUGCAAAGUAAAGCAUCAAAAUCAUUAACUUGAGAUGUCUAUUCUUUGUGAUUAACAAAAUCUUGUUAUGUUCAACAAGUUUUUCCCCAGGGGAAAAAAAAACAAAACAAAAAACUUAUAAAUAUCCUGGCUCCUCCCUUGCUUCUCUGGAGCAGUUACUCAGAGCUGUCUGAUAGGAUAUCUCCCAUUCUAUAGUCCUCAGUAAUGUCCCUUAAUGAAACUUGCAAUCUUUACACUGUGCAUUAUUUUUAAUCAGUUGACAGUUUUAAAUGUUUUUGUUUUUGUUUAUCUUGUCUAACUACGUCAUACUCUUUACAUGAUAUAACAUAUCAUACUAUAUACUCUUUAUGGGUAUAUAAUGCAAAGUUGGUAAAUAUUCUAUGCAAUAUUUACCAUAUGCAUUAUGGGUUGGAGGGAAGCUCCAGGGUUAGGCUCUAAUGGCAUUUAUUUAACCUGGCUCAUUUGAUUCAAAUUGCCAGACAACAGUUCUAAUUAAGUCAGUGUAAGGCAAUUCUUUAACAAAAUAAAUUAUUUUAGCAAUGGGCAUGUGACCUAAUCUUGGCAAUAAAAUUUAAAAAGAGAUUUUCUUCAGGAUUCUAAGAGCAGUAGUUUCUUGCCUUUCUAAGAAAACUACAAAAAGCUUAUCCUUUCUCUCCUUUUAGGGCAUAGGGUAUGGAUAUGGAAUCUGUAAAUACUACAUUUAUUUCCUACCAUAAGGAAAAUCAGCCUUGAUAUGGUACCACGAAAGAUAGAACUUGGAGACAGAAAGAACUUUAUUCCUUGAUAAUAUGAUAGAGAUGCUGAGUCAAAUCUAAAAUCUGUUCUUUCUCUUAACUUUCAGUUAUGUGAGUCCACUAUUCUUUAAGUCAAUUUGAGUAGAGUUUUUGCUGUUUUGAAUCAAAUGCAUCCACAUAAACAAUCUUAUUGAUUAAAUAGUAUUUAAAACAUAUACGUAACUUCUGUAAUAACUAUAGAUAUGAUUGUAUUUGAUGAAAAGGAUUCAGAUAAUUCAUUCAGUUGACAUUUGAAAAUGACUAUCUUAAGGUGAAAAAGGCAUGGUUUCUCUUGAGUAGCAGUAUAUUAUUCAAAAUGAUUUGAAAACUUAAAAAUCAACAAAACAUUAAAAUGUUGGCUAAAAGAAAUUUUAGCUAAAAGAAAAAUAAUUACCAAGUAAAUUGAUUGACCUGUUGAAUCCAUGAAUGUUGCUCAAGGAGGUUGAAGGUAUUUAACGAAGGAGUGUCUUAAUAUAAAAUUAUUCACAAACACUGGAAAGAUUAGCUUACACAUUUUACAGAAUUGUUAUACAUGUUACUAAUCAUUCACUUUGAAAGUGUGACAAUAAGUAGAAUUCUUGGUGCUAUUCCUUAGCUGAGUAAAUUUGCUCACAAUUUAUUGGUGCAUUACUAUCUGAAACUAUUUUUGCUAACAUGGAAAUAAAAAUGCUAUGGUAUAUACCAGUAAACAAAUGGAUCCACAUAUCAUUUACUAUGCAAUUUUUUAAAAUAAAACAAUCUGAUUCUGAAAUACUAUUACAUUUUUCAAAAUACAAGUACCAGAUAGGCAAAUUUCUAUUGAUUGCAUUGUAGUUGAUCAUAAAAAAAAAAAAAUCCAGACUGUAAUUAAAUAACAGCAAUGUCAGUCCCUUGCUUUGGAAACUCUAAAAGAAGAUGCAUUAGAUGGGAACUCUAAUAGAAGAUGUAUUCUCACCCAUGUGUGUCAGAGGGUUGAAGAGUCCACAGAUAUCUGACCCAAAGAAGGGUGUACAUUUAGUUGUGCUAGUCAAAACUAAUUAUACAUAGCUUAAGAAAAAACACAUAUUUAUUGAACAUAUGUACAUAUGUAAAUAUACUACUACAUAUCUAUGAAAUAGUUUACAGAGAUGAAAAGCAUUAAGAACCAGGCAGUAACCAAGGGAAGCUAAGUAUCCUAGAGUACCCCCAAGACUCUGCUAUAGCCACAUGUUUAGGACAUUGAUGUUUCAGACACUCCCACUGCCACCACUUCAUUGAGAAUUCUUCUCACCAUGAUGGCACUGCUGUCUCUUCACAUUUGCUCUGCCAUUGCCAGAAUCUUGAUCCACAACUAGCCUGAAUACUCCUGAACUGCCCCUCCAUCUUUGCCUCACUUCUUUGGGAUAUCAGGUCCUGGAAAAGCUCACCCAAUUGACUGAAACCAGGUCAUAUU